CUAUGGCGUCCAAAGGACCUCGUCAGCGAUGGAAAGGAGCAAGUGGCGAUAGAGAGGAGAAUCCCGGGAGACCGAGAGAUGAGAACCGGGCGGCGGAGCAUAAAGCCGAGUCUACGUGUAGCAAAGCCGGCCAGGUGUGGGCACCAGAAGGCUCCACAGCAUUUAAAUGUCUGAUAUCCGCCAGGUUUUGUGCAGCGCUGCUGAGCAACAUCUCAGACUGCGAUGAAACAUUCAACUACUGGGAACCCACUCACUACCUCGUUUAUGGCAAAGGAUUUCAGACAUGGGAGUAUUCCCCGGCCUAUGCGAUUCGAUCCUACGCUUACCUUUGGUUGCACGCACUACCCGCCUGGUUUCAUGCCAAUGUCCUGCAGACAAA